rnacentral:rRNA from 1 species
GAUGAACGCUGGCGGCGUGCCUAAUACAUGCAAGUCGAGCGAAUGGAUUGAGAGCUUGCUCUUAUGAAGUUAGCGGCGGACGGGUGAGUAACACGUGGGUAACCUGCCCAUAAGACUGGGAUAACUCCGGGAAACCGGGGCUAAUACCGGAUAACAUUUUGAACCGCAUGGUUCGAAAUUGAAAGGCGGCUUCGGCUGUCACUCAUGGAUGGACCCGCGUCGCAUUAGCUAGUUGGUGAGGUAACGGCUCACCAAGGCAACGAUGCGUAGCCGACCUGAGAGGGUGAUCGACCACACUGGGACUGAGACACGGCCCAGACUCCUACGGGAGGCAGCAGUAGGGAAUCUUCCGCAACGGACGAAAGUCUGACGGAGCAACGCCGCGUGAGUGAUGAAGGCUUUCGGGUCGUAAAACUCUGUUGUUAGGGAAGAACAAGUGCUAGUUGAAUAAGCUGGCACCUUGACGGUACCUAACCAGAAAGCCACGGCUAACUACGUGCCAGCAGCCGCAGUAA